UGCCAGCACCUUGAACUUUGAGUUCCUGGUCUCCAGAACGAGUCUCUGAGCACUGGAAAGCACUUGACCCUGUAGGAGUAUGUGAGAAGAACUGGGAUGUUCAUGUUCCAGGGAACAUCUCUAAACCAUUAACUAAAAGUGGUUGCCAAUCUGAAAAUCUUAUUGAUCAUUUCCCACAUCCUGAUGUAAAUCAUGGCUAAGGAGCUUAAAUCAAUGGGGCAGCAGAACCUUGACCAAAGGAGCCAGGUGUGGUGUAAGGACAACGGUUAAAUAAGCACAGAGUAAAAGCAUUUUGAGAAAUGGCACAAGUGUUUGACAGGUUUCCUCUCAGAUUUGACCAUCACUGUGAAGAUUUCUAUGAUGCUUUAAAAUGGAUUCAAACGCUCCCGGAUUUGCCAAGUAUCUAGCAUGUAAACGAGUAGUCCAGCAAAAAUGAAUCAUUAAAUGCUAAC